rnacentral:rRNA from 1 species
AUUGAACGCUGGCGGCAGGCCUAACACAUGCACGUCGAACGAGUGGCGGACGGGUGAGUAAUGUCUGGGAAACUGCCUGAUGGAGGGGGAUAACUACUGGAAACGGUAGCUAAUACCGCAUACCAUCGGAUGUGCCCAGCUGGGAUUCGCUAGUAGGUGGGGUAAAGGCUCACGUAGGCGACGCUCACUAGCUGGUCUGCUAGGAUGACCGGCCACACUGGAACGUAGACACGGUCCAGACUCCUACGGGAGGAAGUAGGGGGGAAUAUUGCACAAUGGGCGCAAGCCUGAUGCAGCCAUGCCGCGUGGAUGAAGAAGGCCUUCGGGUUGUAAAGUACUGUCAGUGGGGAGGCGGUACCCGCAGAAGAAGCACCGGCUAACUCCGUGCCAGCAGCCGCGGUAAUUC